AACGAACGCUGGCGGCAUGCCUAACACAUGCAAGUCGAACGAGACCUUCGGGUCUAGUGGCGCACGGGUGCGUAACGCGUGGGAACCUGCCCUUAGGUUCGGAAUAACUCCCCGAAAGGGGUGCUAAUACCGGAUAAUGUCUUCGGACCAAAGAUUUAUCGCCUUUGGAUGGGCCCGCGUUGGAUUAGCUAGUUGGUAGGGUAAAAGCCUACCAAGGCGACGAUCCAUAGCUGGUCUGAGAGGAUGAUCAGCCACACUGGGACUGAGACACGGCCCAGACUCCUGCGGGAGGCAGCAGUGGGGAAUAUUGGACAAUGGGCGAAAGCCUGAUCCAGCAAUGCCGCGUGAGUGAUGAAGGCCUUAGGGUUGUAAAGCUCUUUUAACCGGGAUGAUAAUGACAGUACCGGGAGAAUAAGCUCCGGCUAACUCCGUG
rnacentral:rRNA from 1 species